rnacentral:lncRNA from 1 species
GCGAUAUUUAACGGAAGUUGAGCAAGUGAAGAACCUGGGAGAGCAGCUUCGAUGCCUUUGCUGAGGGGUGACGUACUUCACGUUGCUCCCUUUCCGUCUGCUUUGUACAUCCUGUAAACUACCUGCCUACCGACUCGCCUCCUUUCCUUCCGCCCCCGCACCUACCGGUUCCUCGUUACCAUUUUCUCUGCCCCGAAGUCCUCGGUCUCGCUCAACCUGCUCCUCCUCCUCCUCUGUCCUCCAUUCAGUUUAGGGUGCCGCUUGCCAGAAACCCAGAAUUGUUGCCAACUCGUCUUUCUCUGUCAUCUCUCCUGUAGUUUUUGCAAAUCUCUUGUUUCUCUCCACUGUAGUAGUGAUAAUGAUCACAUUGAUAGUGGUGAUGAUAAAGAUAGUUACUGUUUAUAUGUGUAGGGUUAUAUAUCUAUUAUAUGUAAUAGAUAUAAAAUAUAUAUUAUUUUAAACAUAUAUUCUGUAUUGAGUUUUAGGUGAAAAGCGCUUAAAACAGUUUGGUUUUUGGGCCAGGGGAGCAUUGCCAUUUAAAAACUGCUUUCAGUUUAUAAUGCAGGGAACUUUCAGAUCAUCUUUAUAGCAGAACCCUUUGAGGGGGCCCCUUUCCUUUGUAUGGAUGUAAGGUAAGUACCACCCACCUACUGUUUUGGUAGAAGUGUAUCGAGGAGUAUGUGUUAGCUUGGCAAAGACCUGUAUCUUAGACGUGUUGAUGAAUGAAGUGAGGAGAUGCCCAUGUGCUAUUUACGUCUGUGUUGUUGAACAAGAAGCCUUCUGGGAAGAGAAGCUAAAGGCAGACUCCUUUCUUUAGAGGCUCAAGUUUAUUGGAACCCGUUUAACGGACUGGAGAGGGGUUGACUGAGGCCAGCUAGCAGGAAAGGACAACAUGAGCCCCUGUCAUGGUAGAAUCAGAACACUCCUGGACCAGUGUCAGGCAGGCAUCUAUUCCUAAUUCUAGUCCAUGUAAUGCCUUUCUCUCCCUCCCCACAAUUGAGGGUCAUUUUCUGUAAUCGGCUUACAAAAUGGGUGAGCCAGCUUUGUGCACAGUGGCCUUUUGCUUCUUUCUGUAAAACUAAUUCUGAAAGCAUCUUUAAACAGCACUAGUAACUUUUUAAAAAAUUGUGGUAAAGUAUACAUAACAUAAAAUUUACCAUCUCAACAAUUUUUAAGUGUAAGAGUUCAGUGGCAUUAAGUACAUUCAUGUUGUACAACCAUCACCACCAUCCAUGUCCAGAACAUUUUUGUCUUCCCAAACCAAAACUUGACACCCGUUAAACAGUAGCUUCCCAUUUUGCCCUCACCGACCACCACCCCCAGCCCCAGGCAACCACCAUUCUGCUUUCUGUCUCCAUGAAUUUGAUUACUCUAGGUACCUCACAUGAGUGGAAUCAUACACUUGUCCUUUUGUAACUGACUUCUUCCACUUAACAUAAUGUCUUCAAGCAUCAUCCAUGUUGUACCAUGGGUCAGUACUUCAUGACUUUUGAUGGCUGAAUAAUACUCCAUUGUAAGGAUAUGCCACAUUUUGUUUCUCUAUACAUCUGUUGAUGGACACUUGCCUUGCUCCUACCUUUUGGCUAUUGUGAAUAAUGCUAGUAUGUACAUGUGUGUACAAAUAUCUUAAACAACAUUAGUAUCUUUUUAGGCUGUUUUUCACUUUAAGAAGAGAUUAAAGCAAUCUAGUGACUGGUAAGAUAGGAAGCUCUGAGAUAGUGAGAUAAGACUCCGGGGUCUGCUUUCCCUAAUUGUGUUGGUUUUGUAAAACAACCUAAGAUUUUCCCCCCAAUGCACCCUCCUUCAUUAGUGUGUGGGGAAACCUGGCAAGCCCUAAAGAAGGCUCACUUUACCUUGAGUUCUCCCAAGACACCUGUGAUUCUCCCUGGCCAUUUGACAGAAUGUGGGGAAGGCUCUUGGUCUUACUGUCCUGGAAUACUAGGAUCAGGAACCAUUAUCAUUCAUUCAUUUAUUCAUUCAACAAAUAUGUCUUAAAUGCUUAUUAUGUACCAUUGUGUAUGUGAGUGUGAGGUGGGGUGACAGAAAAAAGUCCCCACUCUUCUGAUGCUUAUAUUCAGUAGAGGAUUAUAGAUUUAGAUGCAGGUGGAGAUAUCCACCAUUGCUAGUUAUAUUGUCUUUGUUUUUUCCUUAUAGUCUUUCCUUUGGAGGCCUAAAAGUUACUUUUUUGGGGGGACAGUAAAUUUUAAGAGUUAAAUGUUUUGAGGUUUGAUUGUGAGAGACUGUUCUAAUCACCAUGUUGAUUCUGGACCUAAUAAAAUGGCAGGAAUGAUAGUGUAGGUGAUGAAAUAGUUUCAGAGAACUUAGGUGACUUGCCCAGCUCACGGAGCUAGUCCUGGACUAAGGCACAUGCUCUUAAUCCAGACUCCACACAGUCCCCUGGAGAAGCCACAGCUCAAGGACACAGGCCUGACCGCUGUCAGGGAAUCCUUACUUAUGGAAUGUACUAAUUGGUUAAUGUAGAAAUUUUGUGCCAUUUCAAUCAAUACCCCAGUGGAAUUUUUCUUAACUUAAAAUAAUUCUAGAAUAUAGAUAAAAGAAUAAGUGGGAUGAGAGGGAGGUAGAAAGCUAUGAAAUUUUUGAAAAAUGAAAAUAACUAGUAGUCUUGCCCUACUAGAUGUUAAAAUGCCAUAUUUUGUAAAGCCACAGUAAUUGACCUAGUGCGGUGCUGGUGCCAAAAUCAACUGACAGGUAAGUGAACUCGAAUAGACAGGCCACAAAGAAACCCAUUAGAAUUAGAAUUUGGUUAGAUAUUAAAGGAAGCAUAAAAAUCGUUGACCAAGUGGAACUGGAACAGCUAGUUAAAGAUUUGGAAAUAAAAUUUUUAAUUAUAUCUUACCUCUUACCAUAGAUCAAAAUAAAUUUUAGAGAUUAUUUUAAGUUAAAGAAUUAAAUGCUAACAAAGCCUUUAAAAAACAGAAGAAAAUAGAUGAAAAAAUAUAUAUAUAAUAAAAUAUAUAUUUUCCUUCUUCUUCUCUCCAAAGCCCCCCAGUACAUAGUUGUAUAUUCUAGAUGUAGGUCCUUCUGGUUGUGCUAUGUGGGAUGACGCCUCAGCAUGGCUUGAUGAGUGGUGCUAGGUGCAAGCCCAGGAUCUGAACCAGCAAAACCCUGGGCCACCAAAGUGGAGCACGUGAACUUAACCACUUGGCCACGGGGCCAGCCCCUAGAUGAAUAUAUUUUUAAACACUUAAAUUCCAGUAGACAAUUCUCAGAAUGUCUAAUAACAUUAAAAGUAUUCAGCCUCACUAGUUUCUAAGAGAGAGCAAAUUAAAACAAUGACAUAAUUUAAUCUAGCAAAUUGACAAAGGUUAAAAAAAUUCAGUGUUCUUAUGGGUGUGGGGAAAUAGGUAAUUUCAUAUGCUAACGGUAGAAAUAUAAAUUGGCAUGACUUGUGUACGAAGCAAUUUGGCAAGAGUCUUUUCAAAAUUUUUAUCUAUUGACUCAGUUAUAGCACUUUUAGGAAUAUAUUCCAGGGAAAUACUGAGAAACUCUAACAUUUGUAUAUAAGGACACUUAAUAUGGGAUUAUUUAUAACAACAACAAAUAAAUACCUUAAAAGUCUAGCAGUGGGGGCGAGUUAAAUGAAUAAAGAAAUAACAUGUUAUAGUCCUAGUUUAAUGUUUAAUUCUAGUGCUAAAUUUAAAUAUAUAUAUAACAAUACAGGCAUAGUUGUAGAUUAGAUAGAAAGAAAAACGAUUAAGAAGGAAAUAUGCUCAAAUACUAAGAGUCAUAGGUGAAUGACCAGAUUACUGAUUAUAUUUAUGUUCCUUAAAUUUUUCCAAUUUCCCUAUAAUUUACAUGUAUUGCUUUUAGAUUCACAAAAAUUUUGAAGUUGAUUUAAAAACAUUAACCUGUCCUUGUGUUUUUAUGCUUCUAUUAUUUCACCCAAAAUAUGUGAAAAAUGUGUUUCUCAAGGGGCCUGAAGGACGGGGUCACGCUCCGCUCCCUCUCAGUAUCCUCUGCUUAUCCUUGGGGACAGGCACAGUCAGAGCCCUGGACAAGGCAGGGAGAAAUGAAGAGUGCGGGAUGCAGGCCUCCUUCAUGUGUGGUCCUAGGCGUCCACUCGCCCUUCGGGUUUCAUUUCUCUGGCUGAUCUGUGUCUACCAUCAAAUAAAUUGUAGUUCCUCUGGUGUCUAGCCUGUAACUCAGACAAAAUCCAUCAUUUCCUUAACUUCUCUGUUUUUGAGAGGAUUAAUUAAUUAUUCCUUUUUAUUAUUUUGUAACUGGUAAGUCACAGGGUUAACUUGGCUGCAGCCCUCGGAGGUGCACGCUAAGAAUAUUUCCUCAGCAUAUGCUUGGCCCUGGAGUCCUUGUCUGGCCCAGGCUGACUCGGCAGCUUCCCAGGACCCGUCUGCCCCCCCCCCCCACUUCGCCCCUGCAGUGCUUCACCACACGGUGUUCCCCAGGAGGGGCUCCCACGUAGGGAGGGCUCAAUCUGGUUUGAUUCAAAAGAGCCAAACUUCUCGGCCUUUUGGUGGUCCAGUGGUCCAUGUGUGGGGACAGCUGUGAGAGGAACUACAAAGAGGAGGAAGGUGGGAGUGAAGGAAAACAUGUGGAGGGAGAGAGAAAGGCAGAGACACACAAGCGUUUGCAGCCUGGCUCUGCAAUGGCGUGUAUGGAUAGCCUGCCUUCGUUAACCACCGCCAGCUGAAUAGGAAUCCUGUCUGUGUACCAGCUUGGCUGUGGCGUGUGGGUGGCCUUAGCGCUUACUUCUGGAAGCACCCGCAGGGGCCUCGGCCUGUGAGUCUCCUCCUGGAGCUCUGUGCUGUGCACAGGAUUGAACACAGGGUGGCAGUAACACCACAUCUGGCCUCCAACGCCCGCCCUGCCACCUUCGCCCUGUUCCCCCACACACAGCCUGAUGCAAGCUGGAAACACACACACACACAUUCACACACGGCUGUCUUCCAACCGAGGUGGUGACACGUUACCUCAUCAGGUGGGACCUGUGUUAGAUUGAGUUUGCCUCUUCUGUAGGCAUUGCAGGCAGGACAGGCUACGUGAGUUCCAGAGCCCAGUGCAAAAGGAGAAUGGAGGGCCCCUUGUUCAAAAAGCAGGAAAAAGAUGCUGUUAAGGGUAGUAAAAUAUAAAGCCAAGCUCAGUGAGACUGUACCUCAGGCGCCUCUCCCUUCUUGCCUGGGGCUUCUUGGAGGUUGACACGGGACACCUGAGGAACCAGGGCCUGCUCGGCGCUCACACACACACGGCUACCGAGUGCAAGCCAACAGACACCCGUGGGGAGCCCUGACGAUAGGGGAUGGAAGCCUAUGGAUAACACGUUUCCUAUGACGCCUCCAAGGUCUCAGAGAUACGGAGCAGCAGUCCCUAACAAAGUCACACACCCUGGUGUUGCUUUUUCCCCCUUUCUUGUUCCGCUGCCCUGACCCCUCACUCCUGCUCCCCGGGGUUGCUGCCCAAAUCUACUGCUUGCACAUAAACCUCUGACUUGGAUUCUGCUUUUGCGGGUGGUGGGAGAGUAGCAGGGGGACCCAGGCUAAGAGAGAAAUAUCCCAUCCAACAGAUCAUCCACAGCUUGUUGCUUCUACAUCUAAUCCUCUUUCACAUUUUCUCCAUUCCUGCUCCUGCUCCUCUGGUUCAGACCCUCUUCAUCGCUUGCCUGAACUAGUAAUAACUGGAUUCCUAACUGCUCUUUCUGCCUCCCUUUUUAUUUUACUUAACCCAUCGCCUUUCCCCAAAAACAUCCACCCUUUUCAGCUGCCAGAGUGAACUUUCUAAAACUACAGCUACUCCCCUUUAGUAGGUCCCCCUGCCUCCAGGGUGGUUCUCCCUCUGGAAGCCUUCAUUUCCGGCAACCUUUCCAUUCAGUUCGGUUUAUUUCAUCAAAUGCUUAAUUAACACCAGGCACCUAGCAGUUUCUGCCAUCCAAGGGGUGAGGAGCAGGCGACAACAUGGGUGAUGGGGGAAGAUGCUACAAAUUACCGAGAGGAGAGGAACCUGAGUUGCCUCAAGAAGAUGAUGGGAGAGUGAAGGGCUUUCAUGGACUUCUCUAAAAUACAGUCACAGAACCUGUGUCUUCUUCCUCUGAAAAGGAGGAGCAUUUGCAGUAAUGACGGGGAAUGGCGACCCAGCAGGAAAAGCUGAUGUAAUGAAAAGGAGAGAACAGGCCCACACGUGGGUUGGAAGCCCGAGAACACACUUCUCAGAAUCUUUUGCUGGUAGUGUUCCCGGUUGGAUUCCACCAAUGAGAAGCAUUUGCCUGAGGCUUGGAAUGGAAAAGAGAGGCGGAGAUAUUUUUGUUGUUGCUCUGGCUGUGGAGGCACUUGUGUGGCUGCGUGGGCCCCUGAAAACUUCCUGCUGACAAGUAAAAAUGUGAGUCAUCUUCAGGGACGAACAGUGGUGUCUCUCUUCUCUUUGAUUUACUGCCAUGAAGUUUGGGCGAUGCUGUAAUACCUUGUUUGUAUGAAGAAACUUCCAAUCCCCAGAGUGACCAAGAGAGGAAUUUCCAGUGGGAUGCUGGCAUCAUUUAAUGGCUGGCUCUCCAGAGACAAAAAGCUCUCUGCUGAUUUCCAUGGUAUAAGUACUCUCACAGUGGCUAAUUUUUAAGCUAUCAAUGUGACGUCACUGAGUGUGGAGCUGGGAAGAGUUAGGAAGAGAUGUGCAUAAUCGGCUCCCAAAAACCCAUAGGUGCCGGCUUCAACAUACGAUUGAAAUUUCCUUCCUACCAGGGUGGUGAGCAGCCCUGGCUGGAGGUCUCAGCCAGAGGAAGGAUGACCACCAACAGGGAGGCUCCCUCUCAAUGGCUCCGUCUCAAUCCAAAGACGUUGAGACGCCAUCAUUCCACUUACAAUGUAAAUCACUUCCUUCAUAGCCAAACAUUUUUAGAGAAUAAGAAUAUGUUAAACACCAAAACUCUAUUCCUUUUUGAGAAAAGCAAUAGAGAUGAGUUGUUCUCCCUGAAUAAGCCAGGGAUUCAAUGUUGGUGAUGGAGUUCAAUUUACGUAGGAUAUUUUUCCCACCAUCAUCAGCCUAGAGGGCAGGUCUCCUUGCAGAUGUCAGGGCAGCUUCAUCUGCGGCUAAAUUUGAAAACUCCCCUUGGAGAAUUUCAUAUCCCCUAGGUCACUGUACUCAGUUUUACAGUCCCCUUAAAGUUUUGCAGUCUGAAGGGCAUUAUCUGUGAAAAGUCAUGAAGUCUGUAUUGGUUAGAAUGAUUUGAGUACAAAUAACAAAGCACUUUGACCCAACCGGCUUAAAUAAUGAAGAAAUACAUUAUCUCCGAUAAUGAGAAGUCCUAAGGUAGGAAAACACCAGGGUUGGUUAAUUCAGAGAUUCAAGAAUGUCAUUAAGGAUCCAGAUUUCUCCCAUAUUCCUGCUCUGUCAUCCUUUGUCCUGUUUAUCUCCCCUCAUGGUUGUAAGAUGGCUGCCACUUUCUAGGCACGAAUGGCAACAGCUUUUGAAGAAGGACCAACUCUUCCAAUAGAGGAAAACUUUUCCAGAAGCUUCAUUGGAUAGAAUUGGGUCAAACAUCCUUUCCUAAAUCAAACCAUGUCAUAGAGACUGGAAUUACUAUGAUUAACUUAAAAUAAAUCGGAAUUUAACCAUGAGUUACAUUGGAGAGAGGUAAACACCCAGACAAAAUUGUGUUCCUGCUUGGUAGGCAAUUGUCAUCCCAAGGACUCUUCCACUAUUCUGAUCCUAAGAAUGUUGACGUGUACAGGUCAUUUGGUCCUUUUGGCUGAUCAGAGAUCCACUUGGAUCAGACCAAUGAACUUGAUCAGAAGCAAAUUAUGCUAUGUUUACUAAAUUGAUUAAACUCAAGAUCAGUUUAUCAAAAAAUAUUUGUUAAGGACCUAGUGGGAACCUGGCACUUAAAAGUUACAAUCAUUAAGCACUGGAUCUGCUGAUGAGUAGACAUGGACAACUGGACUUAGAGCUCUUAAUCAGCCAGCAGAAUAAGUAAAAAUUUCUUCAAGAUGAGGAGGGGUAAAUACUUUAAAAAAAUACAUGACUAUGGCUUUCAAUAAGGAUGCCAAGACAAUUCAUUGGGAGAAAGACCAGUCUUUCUAACAAAUGGAGCUGGGACAAUUGGAUAUCCACAUGCAAAAGAAUGGAGUUGGACCCUUACCUCACACCAUAUGCCAAGAUUAACUCAAAAUGGAUCAUUGACCUAAACAUAAGAGCUGAAAAUAGAAAAAAUACUUGGGAGAAAGCUUGUAAAUCUCAUGACCUGGAUUAGUCAAUGGAUUCUUAUACAUGACACCUAAAGCACAGGUAACAAAAGAAAAAUAAAUAAAUUGGGCUUCAUCAAAAUUAAAACUUCUGUGCUUCAAGGAUGCUAUUGAGAAAGUGAAAAGACAAUCCAAAGAAUGAGAGAAAAUAUUUGCAAAUCAUGUAUUUAUUAAGAGCCUAGUAUCCAGAAUGUAUAAAGAACUCUUACAUGGGCCGGCUCCGUGGCCGAGUGGUUAAGUUUGCGCACUCCGCUGCGGUGGCCCAGGGUUCGGAUCCUGGGCGCGGACAUGGCACCGCUCGUCAGGCCACAUUGAGGUGGCAUCCCAUAUGCCGCAACUAGAAGGACCUGCAACUAAGAUAUACAACUAUGUACCAGGGGGUUUGGGAAAUAAAGCAGAAAAAAAAAAAAGAUUGGCAACAGUUGUUAGCUCAGGUGCCAAUCCUUAAAAAAAAAGAACUCUUACAACUCAGCUAUAAAAAUACAAGUAAUCCAAUCAAAAAAUGGGCAAAGAAUUUGAAUAGACAUUUCUCCAAAGAAGAUAUACAAAUGGCCAAUAAGCACAUGAAAAGAUGCUCAACAUCAUUAAUCAUUAAUGAAGCACAAAUAAAACUUCAAGAUAUUACUUCACACCUGUUAGGAUGACUAUAAUAAAAAAGACAGACAAUAACAAGUGUCGUAAAGGACACAGAGAAAUUGAAACCCUUAUGCAUUGUUGGUGGGAAUGUAAAAUGGUAUAGCCACUUUGGAAAACCAUUUGACAGUUCUUUAAAAAGUUAAACAUAAAGUUACCAUAUGGCUCAGCAAUCAAUUUCAUUCUUAGGUAAAUGCCAAAAGAAAUGAAAACAUACAUCCACGCAAAAACUUGUAUACAAAUGUUCAGAGCAGCAAAAUUCAUAAUAGGCAAAAAAUGGAAACAAUCCAAGUUUCCAUCAGUGGAUGAAUGGAUAAAGAAAAUGUGGUAUAUCCACAUUAUGGAAUAUCAUUUGGCCGUGAAAAGGACUGAAGUAUUGAUACAUGCUGCUAAAUGGAUGAACGUUAAGAACAUUAUGUUAAGUGAAAGAAGCCAGUCACAGAAGAUUACAUAUUGUAUGAUUCCAUUUAUAUGAAAUAUUCAGUAUAGGUAAAUUCAUAGAGACAACAAGUAGAUUAGUGGUUGUCACAGGCUAAGAGAAGGGGAAAUGAGAAGGGACUAUUAAUGGGUAUGGGGUUUAUUCUUGGGUGAAAGAAAAUGUUCUCAAAGUAAAUAAUGGUGAUGACCACACAACCUUGUGAACAUACUAAGAACCACUGAAUUGUACACUCUAAAAGGUGUGUGAUAUUCUAUGGUAUGUGAAUUACAUCACAAUAAAAACAUUUAUAUGACUAUCUCAGGCCUUUGGGGGGAAAUAGGACAAAAAAUCAGCAAGCUAAUAAAUAUUGAGUUGGCAAAAUUUAUAAAACUCUUCUAUGAUUCUGAAAUUUAUACAUCCUAUUUUAUCUCCUCCUAUCUCCUUGGUCCAAAUGACUUAUUGUGCAGAUCAGUGGUUCUUAACCCUGGCUGCACAUUUGAGAAUCACCAUGAGCUUUAAAAAGAUAUGAUGCCUUGGCCUGACCCAUGGCCAAUUAAAUCAGUGUCUCUGGUCCCCCAGCAACUCUGGCAUCUUAUUUUAUUAAAAACUUCCAGGUGAUUCCCAUGUGCUGUCAAAACCAUGAAAUUAAAGAGUAGACCAAGAUCCAGGCAGCAGUGGGUCAUAUUACAACAUGAUUCUUUAGCUAAGUCCUUUUUUUUUUUGGUGAGGAAGAUUGGCCCUCAGCUAACAUUGGUUGCCAACCUUCUGCUUUUUGUUUUUCUCCCCAAAGCCCCAGUACAUAGUUGUAUAUACUAGUUGUAAGUCACCCCUGUUCUUUUAUGUGGGAUGCCACUACAGCAUGGCUUGAUGAGCAGUGUGUAGUACUGCGUCCAGGAUCCGAACUGGUGAAUCCUGGGCCGCCAAAGUGGAGUGCACGAACUUAAUCGCUCAGCCAUGGGGCAGGCCCCACUAGGUCUUUUUUCCCCCUUAAUUCAGGUUUAUUAAGAUAUAAUUUAUUUACAUUAAAAUUUACCAUUUUAAAGUAUACAGUUCAGUGAAUUUUGACAAGUGUGUGCUGUCCUAUGACAACCAACAAAAUUGAGAUAUAGAACAUCUCCAUUAUUCCCCCAAAUGUCUGUGUCUUUUAGCAAGCAAUCCCUUCCCCUCAUGUGUCAGAAGCACAUACUAGAAUACUAUGCAACAUUAAAGAGCGUGUCCUCGUAAGUACACGUAAGGAAAGAGAGAAAAAAUUUACUAUAUGAAGUCAAGAGCAAAGAGCAGAAAAAUUUCUAUAUAAUAUAACUUUAAUUAUUUU